AGAGUUUGAUCCUGGCUCAGAAUCAACGCUGGCGGCGCGCCUAACACAUGCAAGUCGAACGAGAAAGUGGAGCAAUCCAUGAGUAAAGUGGCGUACGGGUGAGUAACACGUGGAUAACCUGCCCCUUUGUGGGGAAUACCGUUGGGAAACCGACGACAAUACCGCAUAAGCUCGAGAGAGGAAAGCAGCAAUGCGCAGAGGGAGGGGUCCGCGGCCGAUUAGCUAGUUGGUAGGGUAAUGGCCUACCAAGGCUGUGAUCGGUAGCCGGCCUGAGAGGGCACACGGCCACACUGGCACUGAAACACGGGCCAGACUCCUACGGGAGGCAGCAGUGGGGAAUCUUGCACAAUGGGGGAAACCCUGAUGCAGCGACGCCGCGUGAGCGAUGAAGCCCUUCGGGGUGUAAAGCUCUUUCGGCAGGGAAGAUUAUGACGGUACCUGCAGAAGCAGCUGCGGCUAACUACGUGCCAGCAGCCGCGGUAAUACGUAGGCAGCAAGCGUUGUUCGGAGUUACUGGGCGUAAAGGGUGCGUAGGCGGUUCUAUAAGUAUGGUGUGAAAUCUCCCGGCUUAACUGGGAGGGUGCGCUAUAAACUGUGGAACUAGAGUGUGGGAGAGGAAAGUGGAAUUCCUGGUGUAGCGGUGAAAUGCGUAGAUAUCAGGAGGAACACCGGUGGUGUAAACGGCUUUCUGGACCAUAACUGACGCUGAGGCACGAAAGCGUGGGUAGCAAACAGGAUUAGAUACCCCCGUAGUCC
rnacentral:rRNA from 1 species